AGCCAUGCAGUGAGCACAUAGCGAACUAUUCUUUCGCCUUUUACUAAAGAAUACUGUGUGCUCGUUGUUCAAAGUGGCAUACGCCUAUUUUUGGAGAGUCCUUUCAACAACUG
rnacentral:snRNA from 1 species